AAUUUAAUCAAGAAAUAAUUGUCAAAAAUAAUACAUAUAAUUUAAUUCUUAGGCAAAAGAAGAAUUUUCCGAUUAUUUUAUUAUUCUAAAUCUCUAUGCUAAAAUCUAUAUCAAUAAUUCUAUUCAGAAAUCUUUAGCCCCCAUCCGAGUAAGCGUGUACCAAUGGCACCAGGGAGGGCGGAACAAACCAACCGUUGGACAGUUAGUAAAGUAACUCGGUAUACUUUUUCUUCCCCUCCACAAUCGUGGCUUUGUGAGAAAAUCUUUGUAACUCGGACAUUUAGAAAUUCCGUUCUCUCCAACGGCCUCAAGAUGAAAAGGUAUGUCCUUAGAUAUAUGUUUUAGGUACAAUCCUCGCCAGUCCUUCGUAAGCUCUGCAUCUCAACGUAUACACAAUUGUGUCGUGUCCAGAAGAGCAAUCGCGAAGUGCACAAGUAUAUCGGCUUGCGUCGAUUUACCGAUUGGAAUUUCAUAUUUCGCACAUUCGAAUAUCACACUGAAAAAAAGACUUGGUUAAAGUUACCCAGCGCCCUGGUGAAAUAGUUUUUUAACUAAACAUAAGUGCAAAAUGGUAAAAAACGUCUUUUUAACUUCCGCUGCUGGUGAUCUGCCUGCUCUGCCGAAUAUUACAAGGAUGUCUGUUAACCCGGAACCAAGUACGUGUACGCGUACAUAGAAAAUUGUCUAGUACUAGAAAAGCAAUUGCUCAAUUUUAGUUUGCUUUUAACGAUUAUCUUUAUAAAGAAUAUUUUCUUGGUGGACAUUAUGGAAACAAAAAUGAGAAAGUAUAAUAAAGCACUUUUCUACAUACAGAAAAAACUCUAAGAAAUGUAAUUUCUCAUUUUUUAUUUUCUCAACUGAAGAGAGAAAAAAGAUUGUGGUUAUGGAAUUUGUAGAAAAAUACAGAACAUGAUUAAUAAAUAUUCUAAAAAUUAUU